ACCAUGGGCUAAGCGCCCUAGGGAUAAAUUUUUUGUUCCUUACCAUCGGUUGAGCGCCCUAGGGACAAUUUUUUCAUUCCUAUCGAUGGGCUCAUUGCCCUAGGGAUGUGUUCUCUUCUAUCUUAAUAAGAUCACAGCUUUAUCAUUUAACUUGUAAUUGGCCUUAACAGUAUAAUAGGUGUCAAAUUUAUCAUGAUAUUUUAUUAUAUUGUAACUAAGGCUAUAUUUCCCCUAAAUAAGGUCUAUCAUACCCAAGGGGCAUUCAAAAUAUAUUAACACCACCAUAUCAUGUUCAUGCAUGUCAUGCACUCAUACAUUCAUCAAAAUAUUCAUUAUUCAAAUAAAAUUUCAUCAAAAAAAAAAAGAUAUAUCAAGCAUCAUUCAAUCAUUCAUAAAAAAAAAGGCCAACAUUGAACAUUCAUACAAGAAAUCAAACAUUCACUCAUCUAAUCGUACAAAAAAUAUAUCCUCUACUCAUGUAUGGAUUCAUCAUAAAAAAUCACUCAAACAUUGCAUUUCAUGCACUAUUACAUAUUGCAUUUCAUACAUCAUACCUUAUCUAAGAAGUAAAAAUAAAGUGAUUCAUGCACUUUCACCACUGACUAAAAAACAAAGCAAAAAAUCCUUUUACCAUUGCAUUUUCAUGCAAUAGCAUAUCAUGCAUUGCAUACACCACCAAAAUCUAUACUCGAAAAGCUUCAUACCCAUAUCAAAAUUCAUAUUCGUACAAUACAUUUUCAAUACCAUACACCCUCACAACUCCCAAAACACCGUCCUAAC
rnacentral:lncRNA from 1 species